UGGUGCUAGGUUUUCCUCUCAUUUGUUUUCUGUGUUUUUUCUCUGAAAAAACUUUUGAUUUUUCGUCUGUAAUCUUUGGUUUUUAGAUCUUCUUGGUGAAGUCUAAUGUAGAUUACUUUGUGAAAAGGGUGAUUCUGUUCUUGAGUGAGCAAAUAACCUUUUGUUACUUGAUGUAAUCUGUUGAGUAUAUUCUUGAAAGAAAAACUGAGUCUGAGGGCUAGAUCCUUUGGAUCUUUGAAUUUUGAUUCUUGUCCUUAUAAUUUUUUGCUGGUUUUUAGUGGAUUAGAGCGAAAACCGCUUUAGUGAAUGCUUAGUGUGGUGAUACAUCCGGGCCUUAGGGUAAAAAGCUCUUGGUGUUCUUUAAUUUUCUGUCAUUAAUUUGGUUUUUUCUAAGACUGUUAAUACCAAUUACCAACAAAACUAUGAGGCAGCAAAUGCUCAGUAAUUGUGCAGUUAAGUAUUAAGAAAGAACGAAGACGAGAACAAGCCGCUACACAGUUUGUUCUUGCUGCCAAUUUUGCUGCUUUAAUAAAAGGAUCUUCAAGUAUUAGAGUUUGAAGAUGGGAAUAAUAUCUUCAACAAAACAAAGUAUGCAAUAAUAACUUCGUCGAAAGUUUUGGAGGAGACUUGACAAUAUGAUCAAUGAAACUCUAGAUCAUUCCGGGUUUCAAGAGAUAAUUGGUGGUCAGCUCGCCACAGAAACAUUGAAGGUGAUAUUUAAAUUUUCUAUGUGAAACUACUUGAUUAUUAUAAUUCGAUAUCGUCUUGCAUUUCUUCCCCUAAUUACUGAUAUUCGUUGUACGUUGGUUUGCUAUAGACUAUGCCUUAUCGCACAUACAAAUAUAAGCUGGGCAAAAAGUGUUUUAAGUUGUGGAGUGUAAUUAUUGCAGUUGUGCAGACUCCAUACACAUAUUGACCUCCAAAGGAUAAUUUAGGAAUUUCACAAUUAUAAUUUUGAUUUUUACAAAAGAUAGGAUCUGUCAUUAAGAUUUAAUAUAUCAUCAUCAAAAAGAAAGAGUUUAGAAAAAAAAAAAAAGAGUAGUGUGAGAUUUUUCUCUUGUAAAUUUCUUUUCAUCAUAGUUAAUUAAAGCAUUGUUGGAC
rnacentral:lncRNA from 1 species